UGGGCAAUCUGCCCUUCUCAUCGGAAUAAGCGUUGGAAACGACGUCUAAUGCCGAAUACGACCUCCCUUCGCAUGAUCGGAGGUGGAAAGCUCCGGCGGAGAAGGAUGAGCUCGCGGCCUAUCAGCUAGUUGGUGUGGGUAAUGGCCCACCAAGGCGACGACGGGUAGCUGGUCCGAGAGGAUGACCAGCCACAUUGGGACUGAGACACGGCCCAGACUCCGUAGGGAGG
rnacentral:rRNA from 1 species